CUUUACAAUAAUAUUCAGACAGAGCUGAAGCGACUAAUCAGGACGUACCAACUUCAUAUUCAUGAUGAGAUUACUGUGAAAACAGGCGAGGAGCUAAAGAUGUCUGUUCUGUUGUCUAAUGCUGAUAAAGUGGAGAAAAGCUCUAGUGGAGAGUGGAGGGAGGUUUGGAGCAGAACUGAUGGGGUUCAGAGCGAUCGAAUGAAUGAAACUGAU